rnacentral:rRNA from 1 species
AUUGAACGCUGGCGGCUGGCUUAACACAUGCAAGUCGAGCGGGAAUAGGUAGCUUGCUACUGAAUUCUAGCGGCGGACGGGUGAGUAAAGCUUAGGAAUCUGCCAUUUAGUGGGGGACAACAUUCCGAAAGGGAUGCUAAUACCGCAUACGUCCUACGGGAGAAAGCAGGGGAUCACUUGUGACCUUGCGCUAAAUGAUGAGCCUAAGUCGGAUUAGCUAGUUGGUGGGGUAAAGGCCUACCAAGGCGACGAUCUGUAGCGGGUCUGAGCGGAUGAUCCGCCACACUGGGACUGAGACACGGCCCAGACCCCUACGGGAGGUAGCAGUGGGGAAUAUUGGAAAAUGGGGGGAACCCUGAGCCAGCCAUGCCGCGUGUGUGAAGAAGCCCUUUUGGUUGUAAAGCACUUUAAGCGAGGAGGAGGCUACCUGGAUUAAUACUCUAGGAUAGUGGACGUUACUCGCAGAAUAAGCACCGGCUAACUCUGUGCCAGCAGCCGCCGUAA